rnacentral:pre_miRNA from 1 species
UGGUGUUGUCCUAAGUCAAACUUCUUCAUGUUUGACGACGAAGUUUAUAGAAAAAUGUAGCAACAUUUUUAACACCAAGCAAAUAUAUUAUAAAAAUAUACUCAAUGGUGGAUUUAAUGAUAUUAAUUUGGUGUUAUAGAUGUUGCUACAUAUUCUAUCAACUUGGUUAAAUUGGAAGUGGUUUGACUUAGGACAAAACCAA